rnacentral:rRNA from 1 species
AGCAGUAGCCGCGGGAAUACGUAGGGUGCAAGCGUUAAUCGGAAUUACUGGGCGUAAAGCGUGCGCAGGCGGUUAUAUAAGUCAGAUGUGAAAUCCCCGGGCUCAACCUGGGAACUGCAUUUGAGACUGUAUGGCUAGAGUGUGUCAGAGGGGGGUAGAAUUCCACGUGUAGCAGUGAAAUGCGUAGAUAUGUGGAGGAAUACCGAUGGCGAAGGCAGCCCCCUGGGAUAACACUGACGCUCAUGCACGAAAGCGUGGGGAGCAAACAGGAUUAGAUACCCCUGUAGUCCCUGUCUCUUAUAA